rnacentral:rRNA from 1 species
CAGUCGCCGCGGGAAUACCAGCAGCCCAAGUGGUGGUCGCGCUUAUUGGGCCUAAAGCGCUCGUAGCCUGGCCGGUAAGUUCCCCGUGAAAUCGGGUCGCCCAACGAUUCGGCUUGCGGGGAAUACUGUCGGUCUUGGGGCCGGGAGACGCCGAGGGUACUCCGGGGGUAGCGGUGAAAUGCUGUAAUCCUCGGGGGACUACCAGUGGCGAAGGCGCUCGGCGAUAACGGGCCUGACGGUGAGGGGCGAAAGCUGGGGGCGCGAACGGGAUUAGAUACCCCAGUAGUCCCUGUCUCUUAUA